rnacentral:rRNA from 1 species
ACGAACGCUGGCGGCGUGCUUAACACAUGCAAGUCGAACGGAAAGGCCCUGCUUUUGUGGGGUGCUCGAGUGGCGAACGGGUGAGUAACACGCGAGUAACCUGCCCUUGACUUUGGGAUAACUUCAGGAAACUGGGGCUAAUACCGGAUAGGAGCUCCUUCUGCAUGGUGGGGGUUGGAAAGUUUCGGCGGUUGGGGAUGGAUUCGCGGCGUACCAGCUUGUUGGUGGGGUAGUGGCUUACCAAGGCUUUGACGGGUAGCCGGCCUGAGAGGGUGACCGGCCACAUUGGGACUGAGAUACGGCCCAGACUCCUACGGGAGGCAGCAGUGGGGAAUAUUGCACAAUGGGCGGAAGCCUGAUGCAGAAACGCCGCGUGCGGGAUGACGGCCUUCGGGUUGUAAACCGAUUUCGCCUGUGACGAAGCGUGAGUGACGGUAAUGGGUAAAGAAGCACCGGCUAACUACGUG